UACGAAGGGGGCUAGCGUUGCUCGGAAUCACUGGGCGUAAAGGGUGCGUAGGCGGGUCUUUAAGUCAGGGGUGAAAUCCUGGAGCUCAACUCCAGAACUGCCUUUGAUACUGAGGAUCUUGAGUUCGGGAGAGGUGAGUGGAACUGCGAGUGUAGAGGUGAAAUUCGUAGAUAUUCGCAAGAACACCAGUGGCGAAGGCAGCCCCCUGGGCUAACACUGACGCUCAGGCACGAAAGCGUGGGGAGCAAACAGG
rnacentral:rRNA from 1 species